rnacentral:sRNA from 1 species
AUGAGCAGAUGAGGCCUAGCCGAGGCGGCGGGACCCCCAAGUUUGGAAAGCUCUGUUAACGAUAGUAACUUUCCCUACUGAAGGCCCCAGGAGUGCUCCAGCCAGAGCUGAGGCUUCGAAGACCUCAGAGGACUUCUCUCAGCACUCACAGAAACCUCCUACACCCUCGGAUGGCACAAAGGGACUGUUUUCUUACUCUUAGUCUGAGUGACUGCCAAGAAGGAAGGCAAAGGUAGAGCAACUGGAUCUCUGGCUCUCCACAUAGCUUCUGAUCUCAGACCUUACUAAAACGCUUUCUGGGCCCAAGGACAAAGCUCACAUGAACAAAUGAUUUUGAGUCAUGAAUGAAAAAUCUUGCUCUUUCCAUAGUAAAGAAGAAUUAAGAGAUGGACAGGGCGAAAGAUUGUCUGCUGGAUAUUCUCCAUCAUAUGACAAGGACAAGAGUGUUCUGGCUUUCAGAGGAAUCCCUUUGUGAGUACAGAGGUGGUCAGAGCCCAAGAAGAAUGGGAAGCUGUGGACACCAU